GUAUCAUCCGCCAGACUCUACCCGAGUUUUUCUCCUCAGUUAAACCCUACUCAGCUCAGAAAAAACCUCUUCCCUACCACAGAGAGAGAGAGAGAGAGAGAGAGCGCUUAGGGUUGGGGUUUUCAUCCUCGUUUUCUCUUCUUCUUCGCUCUGUCGAUCCAUCCAUGCAUUCAAAUUGCAGCUGAAAUUUGAGAAGAUGGAGAAAGUAACAAUAGAAAUACGUGAAGAUGGAGGGUCGGAGUACUGACGUAUAGAACCAGUGAUUUUCUUGACGGAUUUGCCAGAAUUUCUUAUUGGAUUUUGAGAUGGAGUUCUCGAUAGUAUGGGACAAUGCCAAUAGCAUAAACUCUACCAAGAAGCCAUAUCAUUCGAAAGGUGGGUCAGAGAGGACUUGGGAGGAUGCAUUUUUUGAGCUGGCCAUCAUUGUAGCUUUUGCCAUUGGAUUUUUUUGGUACAUGUGGCUUCGCAGAGCACGGGUGGGUCGUGAACUGGAUGAAUUUGCCGCGGAGUUGCAUGAAUUUAUGGAACGACUAGAGGCCACUGACAAUCGACGCUAUGAGAAUAUUACACGGGCGUUGGGACAGUUGGAAGAGAAGUGCCUGGCAUUCCGUGAAGUUCUGCGACGACAUCGACGGGCCAUUGGGAACCGACGCUACUAUUCUGUGAUGGCAACACUACAGGAGCUGGAGGAGGCUAUUUCGAGGCGGAGGCUGCGUGAGAUGGGAGAGGACACUUCGGAGCAGCAGAGGCUGGUGAUGACCGCAGACUGAUAGUCUACCAAGAGUAAUGAAAUGAAAUGUGUUUACGCUUGAUUUCUGGAGCUAGUUCAUGGAGUUCUGAUUUGUUUGGGAAGGUGACAGGAUUGUGUAGUUGCGGCAUGUGAAGCAGCAUGGCUAAUGGUGCUGAUUUUGGGGAACCUUCUGUUUGGAAGAGCAACAGCAGAUGCACAUUGCUGGGAGGAUUUUAUUUUUAAUUUUUCUGUACAUACACUGUUGUACUCCUUUGAGAAUGUACAUAGAGAUCUUUUGAAACUGAAUGGUUGGUUAUGGGUUUUACAUGUAUUGUUGUUGUAUAGAUGUCGUGCUUUAUAACAUUCUAAGGGUUGGUACGUACAUGGAAUUGGAUAAAGAUCUUUUAACUGUA